UACUUGUACCGACUGGAUGAACAGCGAACGGGUGAGUAACGCGUGGGGAAUCUGCCUUUGAGCGGGGGACAACAUUUGGAAACGAAUGCUAAUACCGCAUAAAAACUUUAAACCCAAGUUUUAAGUUUGAAAGAUGCAAUUGCAUCACUCAGAGAUGAUCCCGCGUUGUAUUAUCUAGUUGGUGAGGUAAAGGCUCACCAAGGCGAUGAUACAUAGCCGACCUGAGAGGGUGAUCGGCCACAUUGGGACUGAGACACGGCCCAAACUCCUACGGGAGGCAUCAGUAGGGAAUCUUCGGCAAUGGACGAAAGUCUGACCGACCAACGCCGCGUGAGUGAAGAAGGUUUUCGGAUCGUAAAACUCUGUUGGUAGAGAAGAACGUUGGUGAAAGUGGAAAGCUCAUCAAGUGACGGUAACUACCCAGAAAGGGACGGCUAACUACGUGCCAGCAGCCGCGGUAAUACGUAGGUCCCGAGCGUUGUCCGGAUUUAUUGGGCGUAAAGCGAGCGCAGGUGGUUUAUUAAGUCUGGUGUAAAAGGCAGUGGCUCAACCAUUGUAUGCAUUGGAAACUGGUAGACUUGAGUGCAGGAGAGGAGAGUGGAAUUCCAUGU
rnacentral:rRNA from 1 species